rnacentral:rRNA from 1 species
CCUUGACGUCCAGAGAACUUAGCAGAGAUGCUUUGGUGCCUUCGGGAACUCUGAGACAGGUGCUGCAUGGCUGUCGUCAGCUCGUGUUGUGAAAUGUUGGGUUAAGUCCCGNAACGAGCGCAACCCUUAUCCUUUGUUGCCAGCGGUUCGGCCGGGAACUCAAAGGAGACUGCCGGUGAUAAACCGGAGGAAGGUGGGGAUGACGUCAAGUCAUCAUGGCCCUUACGGCCAGGGCUACACACGUGCUACAAUGGCGCAUACAAAGAGAAGCGACCUCGCGAGAGCAAGCGGACCUCAUAAAGUGCGUCGUAGUCCGGAUUGGAGUCUGCAACUCGACUCCAUGAAGUCGGAAUCGCUAGUAAUCGUAGAUCAGAAUGCUACGGUGAAUACGUUCCCGGGCCUUGUACACACCGCCCGUCACACCAUGGGAGUGGGUUGCAAAAGAAGUAGGUAGCUUAACCUUCGGGAGGGCGCUUACCACUUUGUGAUUCAUGACUGGGGUGAAGUCGUAACAAGGUAGGCGUAGCGAG